rnacentral:rRNA from 1 species
GACGAACGCUGGCGGCGUGCUUAACACAUGCAAGUCGAACGGAAAGGCCCUGCUUUUGUGGGGUGCUCGAGUGGCGAACGGGUGAGUAACACGUGAGUAACCUGCCCUUGACUUUGGGAUAACUUCAGGAAACUGGGGCUAAUACCGGAUAGGAGCUCCUGCUGCCUGGUGGGGGUUGGAAAGGUUCGGCGGUUGGGGAUGGACUCGCGGCUUAUCAGCUUGUUGGUGGGGUAGUGGCUUACCAAGGCUUUGACGGGUAGCCGGCCUGAGAGGGUGACCGGCCACAUUGGGACUGAGCUACGGCCCAGACUCCUACGGGAGGCAGCAGUGGGGAAUAUUGCACAAUGGGCGGACGCCUGAUGCAGCAACGCCGCGUGCGGGAUGACGGCCUUCGGGUUGUAACCCGCUUUCGCCUGUGACGAAGCGUGAGUGACGGUAAUGGGUAAAGAAGCACCGGCUAACUACGUG